UACGUAGGGUGCGAGCGUUGUCCGGAAUUACUGGGCGUAAAGAGCUCGUAGGUGGUUUGUCGCGUUGUUCGUGAAAACUCACAGCUUAACUGUGGGCGUGCGGGCGAUACGGGCAGACUGGAGUACUGCAGGGGAGACUGGAAUUCCUGGUGUAGCGGUGGAAUGCGCAGAUAUCAGGAGGAACACCGGUGGCGAAGGCGGUUCUCUGGGCCUUACCUGACGCUGAGGAGCGAAAAGCGUGGGGGAGCGAACAGG
rnacentral:rRNA from 1 species